rnacentral:rRNA from 1 species
GACGUAGGGGACGAGCGUUGUCCGGAUUCAUUGGGCGUAAAGCGCGCGUAGGUGGUUCGGUAAGUCGGAUGUGAAAUCUCCAGGCUCAACCUGGAGGGGUCAUUCGAUACUGCCGUGACUAGAGUUCGGUAGAGGAGUGUGGAAUUCCUGGUGGAGCGGUGAAAUGCGCAGAGAUCAGGAGGAACACCCGUAGCGAAGGCGGCACUCUGGGCCGAUACUGACACUGAGGAGCGAAAGCGUGGGGAGCGAACAGG